rnacentral:lncRNA from 1 species
UCUUAUAUCAACUCUUUUUAAUUUAAUCUACUAGCCACUCUAACACACAUCUAGAUUUAUUAACAUAUAAUAUGUUUUAACUAAUUUUUAUAUACUAUAAGCAUUUACAAUACCACAUCGCAUCUUCCUCCUAGAUUCUACCUUCCAACUCUUAGUUCCAGCUCCUUGUAUUUAAGCAAUUUUCUAAAAUUUCAAAGAAAGAAUAAUUGACAAGAUUCAAGGACUUACUUGUUUGUAAGCUAUUAAUGCUUUCCUUCUUUCUUUUUAUCCUCCUUCUCUUCAAACCACAAUCUAUAUUGGCAAAAUAAAAUAAAACUCAAUGAAUUUGUUUAAGAAAAUACUCACCUUGGAUUAUGAUUUGAAUUUGUUGAUCUUGCUUUA